rnacentral:rRNA from 1 species
GAUGAACGCUGGCGGCGUGCCUAAUACAUGCAAGUCGAGCGAACAGACGAGGAGCUUGCUCCUCUGACGUUAGCGGCGGACGGGUGAGUAACACGUGGAUAACCUACCUAUAAGACUGGGAUAACUUCGGGAAACCGGAGCUAAUACCGGAUAAUAUAUUGAACCGCAUGGUUCAAUAGUGAAAGACGGUUUUGCUGUCACUUAUAGAUGGAUCCGCGCCGCAUUAGCUAGUUGGUAAGGUAACGGCUUACCAAGGCAACGAUGCGUAGCCGACCUGAGGGGGUGAUCGGCCACACUGGAACUGAGACACGGUCCAGACUCCUACGGGAGGCAGCAGUAGGGAAUCUUCCGCAAUGGGCGAAAGCCUGACGGAGCAACGCCGCGUGAGUGAUGAAGGUCUUCGGAUCGUAAAACUCUGUUAUUAGGGAAGAACAAAUGUGUAAGUAACUAUGCACGUCUUGACGGUACCUAAUCAGAAAGCCACGGCUAGCUACGUG